AGACGACAGAACAACAGCCCCUUCGUGCCAAACUGCUUCGAGCACCAACGUAUCUCAUUCUUGAGGAAAGCAAGCUUAUUCACGAACACGUUUCGCCGUCCAUCACAGGCUCUCCGCAUGUUGAUUCGCAUUUGGACUGGCGUUAUAUUCUCACUUUUCCUGUGCAUAAUUGAGGCAGAGAGUGCUUGGAAUACCUUCCGAAGAUGGCAUCCUCAUUCUACAUCAUCAUUAACCCCACAUGGGCAACCACCCAAAGGGCAUCGCAGAAGUGCUUGCCAGGCAGACGUAAGCUGUCCACGGCACUUGGAUACCUGGAGCUUCUUACGCCUCGCUGUAUCAGACACCAACGCCUGCGGAAAGAAACUGCAACUAUCCUCGCCAAUAGAAAUGUUCCUGGACAGCGGCCUGGCCAAUCAACCAAUAUAUGUAGACUGUGUUCGAGUUAAACAGACGGGCAGCUUACAGCUGAUACUUGAAGCCUGCCCCGAAGAAUCCAGUAUAUGGACAUGCCUUCACCUCUAUUUCCUUCUUGGAGGCCUGUUCCUGAUUAUACUUGUUUUUGUCGCCUGUAGAAUACUACAUAUACUUUUUCAAGUAGAAGAAUACGUGUAGUGAACGCACUUUACGGCGUCAUGGCCUAGUCGUCGCUCAUGAGCUUCCAGAUUAAAUAAACAUAACGCUGUUUCUCA